AGGAUUAGAUACCCUAGUAUAAAAUAAAUUUAAUAAGAUUAUUAUGAAAAGAAAUUUAAAAUUUUUGGCGGUUAAUUAUUAUGUUAGAGGAGCUUGUUUUUAGAAAUUACUCUUUAUAUUUUAUUAAUUUUUGUUUAUUUAUCUCCGUUAUAAGGUGAAAACUGGAUAAGUUUAUUUUUAUAUUUCAGGUCAAGAUGUAGCAAUAAUUAAUAUGAAUUAGCUACAUUAAUGGAAUUAUGAAUUUAUUUAAGGAAAUAUUUUUAAUGAAAUUGAAUUUAAUUGUAAUUUAAUUUAAAAUGAAUAGAUGAAAUUUUAUAAUUUAUGUAUAUAUUGCCCGUCACUUCUUUUGGUGAAAGAGAAUAAGUCGUAACAAAGUA
rnacentral:rRNA from 1 species